UGCUUCCACUGAUAGAAGGAAAAAAUUCAAGUGAUUGCGCCGGCUCUGCAAGCGCACACACAGUUACGUUUUGCUACCUCGACAAUGCAGCCUGUUCAUUAUCAUAAUAAAAUAGUCAGUCAAACAUAUGGGAAAAAAAAAAACACACUGCUCAGUUUAAAUAUGUAGUUAGUAAAAUCUGUGCCGUUAAGCGUUAUCACCGUAUUGCCGUGAUGUUAUGCAAAACAUUUAGUUUUAUGUGGAUAUUGGAACACCAGUUGAAGUAGGCUACAUAAUAAAUAAUAUUUUGGCAUUCAAAUACAUCGCGAAUACGGAAACAUUUGAUUUUGUGUCGAUUGAGAGACCCAACGGUGGUUUCAGUUCCGUUUUAGCCUAAAUUAAUUUGUUUUGUCUUGUCGUUUAUAUAGCUAUAGCUUCUUAUAUUUUUAAUUCUUGUUCUUUUCUAAAUACUGUUGAUUGAAAGGAUUUGUUGUGGAGUGAGGGGAACUAAAAUAGCCUAGCUAUGUUUACAGUGUUUAUUAUAAUUCUUGUAAACAUUUCGCGUCGUCAUUAGGCCUAUUUCUGAAUGAAAAUUUUUUUCUAAAAAAAACAACAAAAAAUUUAUAUAUGCAUAGCGUAUUUUAACCAUGCAGCAAACCUAUAUAUUUUGACAAAUUACUGAAAAAAAAUAAAGUAAAUGACUUUUAAACCGUUUAACUGAUUGUAUUAAUCGGUCAAAAAUUCUUACGGUCGGUUAACCGGUUAAAAUGAACAUCCCUAGUAUAAACCAAUUUUUUGGCCAUCCUAAGAGCUGUGGAAGAAUACAUUUACAAUAAAAUCUUUCAUGUGACCUGUAAUAUAAGAUAAUGGUUUCCCUUUUACUCGACAGGUGAAACAAUAAUUAUUGUCCAGCCUAUACCUAGUCCUGGUCCAGAAAUCUGCAGUGAAUCUAUAUUGGAUACAAAAUGACUUUGCGGCGGUGAUUCAGAAGAGCUGCAUCAGGGAAGGGAGGCUCAAAUGUCCCCAUUUUGAUCCAGCCCAGUUCCACUGUCAACACCUCAGAGUCCACGCAUUUCGCAGCCAGCCAGUCUUAAGUACAACACCCAGAAAUGAGCCACCUGCCUGGUCCUAGUCCCGGUCAUUACUGAGGGGGUCCUGCUGAUGGACUCUAAGGCCCCUGAUGUAGUGUGCUGACGGCAGGGCAUCACGGCACCAGGACUAAACUGUGCCACUGCGCCAUACCCGGACUCUGACCCACUGGAAUCGAGUGGCAGUUUGCCAAAAGACAAAGAAGCCUCUGCCAAUCUCAUCUGUGUCUCCAUUGGUGUGUAUGUCUGUCUGUUCGUAUAUAACUACACGUU
rnacentral:lncRNA from 1 species